UGAACAUGUCCUACAAAUUGUGAUCAUUUUCUAUUGAAAAUGUGUGUUUUUGAGGCUUUUUCAACUGUUAUAGCGCCACCUAUGAUCCGAUCUCCAUGAAACUUUGCAUGCUUGUUAAGAGUCACCUGAUACAUGAUUCCACGAAGUUUCAUAAAGUUUUGAGUUUUCGUUUAGGUUUUAUAGGCUUUGGGGUAUGUUUGGCCACACCCCUUUUACUAAAUUACCCCUUUACAGCUAACCAAAGGACAAAAUUCAACAUUUUUUUGAUAAUUAUUGAUCUAGAGAGUCCACAGAAUAUUACUGCAGUGGUUUGGUUCCGAUCGGACAAAAAACCUAGGACUAGUUCGUAAAAGUAGGUUUUUAACAUAUUUGUGAAUAACAUUUGAACGAUUUGAUUGACAGCAAUGGUUCUUGAGGCAAAGUUGUGCAUUAUGAGGAGAUCUAUCAAAUGAUAUGCAUAUUGUGUUGAUAAGUGAAACACCACGUGAUUACAGAGCCAAUAAACUCGUUAGCGCCAACUAGUGGCCGAUUUCUUUCAAAAUUCUUACAGACCUUAAGGUUCAUGAGUCGAACGCACCCAGCGAGUUUCGUUCCGAUCAACAUCCGUUAACCCUUUCAAAUAGGUGCUUAAAAUUGUUUGGCCAAUGGCGGCCAUGUUUUUUGAGAUAUGCAAAUGUCCUCAUAGGUACUUGUGCCCCUUCAGACCAAGACACUGCAUACCAAUUUUCAAGUCGAUCGAGCCAACGGUUGCCUGGUUAUAGCCAUUUAUGUGUUUUUUAAAUCUUAUUGCGCCCCCAAGUGGCAGAGAUAUGCAAUUUUUUUUAUUUGACCAAAGAUUGAGCUCAUACAUAUGUGUACCAAUUUUGGUGAAGAUAUCUCAUUCCGUUCAAGAGUUAUAGUCAAAAUAGUAUUUGGCUAACGUUAGCAUAGACGCUUUUUGGUGUACUGUUUCGCGUAAGAAUUGAAAUUUCAACUUUUUUUUGAUAAUUAUUGAUAUUGAGUGUCCAGGGAAUAUUUAUGAAGUGGUUUGGUUCUGAUUGGUUGAAAAUCCUAGGACUAGUUCGCAAAAGUAGGUUUCGGAUAUAGCUCGAUUUUGCGAGAAAACGGUGCGUCGUAGACCCCAAAAAGGCGCCGUGCACUUUUGUUCGGGCUAACCCAAGGAUUGCAACAAUGCCAUGUUUUUGAGUCUACGGCUAACGGUUUACGAUUUACGGCCAAAAAUGUCAAAAAUUUUAGUUUUUUGCGCUGUAGCGCCCCCGUUAGGCCGAUUGGAUCGAGACUCGGUAUCUGACAAGAAGGCCGGACUACUACAUUCUGACCAAAUUUCAGCUUUCUAGGCCUUACGGUUUGGGCUGCACGAACAGUUUGAGUGGAGAAUAAUAAUAAUAAUA